rnacentral:rRNA from 1 species
AUUGAACGCUGGCGGCAUGCUUUACACAUGCAAGUCGAACGGUAACAGGUUAAGCUGACGAGUGGCGAACGGGUGAGUAAUGCAUCGGAACGUGCCCGAUCGUGGGGGAUAACGCAGCGAAAGCUGCGCUAAUACCGCAUACGAUCUGAGGAUGAAAGCGGGGGACCGUAAGGCCUCGCGCGAUCGGAGCGGCCGAUGUCAGAUUAGGUAGUUGGUGGGGUAAAGGCUCACCAAGCCGACGAUCUGUAGCUGGUCUGAGAGGACGACCAGCCACACUGGGACUGAGACACGGCCCAGACUCCUACGGGAGGCAGCAGUGGGGAAUUUUGGACAAUGGGCGAAAGCCUGAUCCAGCAAUGCCGCGUGCAGGAAGAAGGCCUUCGGGUUGUAAACUGCUUUUGUACGGAACGAAACGGCGAGCUCUAAUACAGUUUGCUAAUGACGGUACCGUAAGAAUAAGCACCGGCUAACUACGUGCCAGCCGCCGCAGUAA